CCGGAGGCCGUCUUUUGCUCUUCGCGGGUGGCAGUGGGUCUGCCAACUUGCGGAUCCCCUCAGGAUGGGGACACCCUCCCGCAGUUACUUCCCUGGGAUUGAGUGUACGUUGGCUGCUCAGGCAACGCGUGGUGAGAGAGAUUUGAGUUGCCUUCUCAUGGGUGGACCCAUUGAUCGCUCGACAUCCUAUCUUUAUUUCCUUUCCUGUCCUUCCCAGGAGUUGGGGAAGUUGGUGAGUAUUAUCCCAGCUCCAUUCAUUUUCUGAGUAUACUUCAGUUCCAUGCAUGACUAGGGUUAAGAGGUUUACGUUUUUAGCAGAAUUUAAUCCCAUACUUCCGGUAUACUUAACACGGGCCUGUGUAGGGAACGGCGAUCGGAAGAUCUCGCGAUGGCACGGAAAGAGGAAGGAAGAGGAAGGAUAUGACGUAGAGAUAGCAGUAUGCUUGUAGGUAUAUAAGCAAAUACAUGCGUACAAUAAACGCCAUUUGUAGCAUCCUCAUAUUGGUGUCAGUGCUCAUUGGCCCGGAGGCAGGGGGAGCCUCCGUGCCGUCUCAGGCGAACGGGAGAUUGUCGCAUCAGAAGGCGACAAGUGGUGACCCCGACGUGAUAGCUGAGACGGCGGACCGCAGGCGGUCGAGAGGAUCCGGAUCAUGGACGCGGUAGUUAAGGUUGUACGCGUGGGUGCCCGGGAAUGGGGGCUCUCUAUGAGAGCGGAUGCAGUAGCAAACUGCGUCGGGCGGCUCCUGAAAGAUGGAGCGAUAGUUAGACCAGGGGACAUUUUUUCCCCUUCUAACUGGGAGAAGUGCACUCGAGCACUUGCUCAGAGAGCUAUGGCCACUAAGAAGGCCGCAGAGCUUAAGACGUGGGGAGAUAUAACGAUCAUUUUAGAAAGGACUAGGGAGGAGCUUGAGACCUGGCAGGCUGCCCGCGCGGCGCUACACAUGUCCGCGGAAAUGGCGACACAGACAGCAGCAAACGCAGAGGAGCGAACGGAGGCGAUAGAGGAAGAGACGAUAGUAGGGGAUGAAGUGAAAACGGAGAGUGUGGAAACAGACAUAAAGGAGGAGGCGGUUAAUCAAGAACCAGAGCGGGGAGAGGGGGAGGCAAAAACUCCAGAGGCUUACCCAAUAACGCCCUCUUCUCCGCCACCGCCGCGGUAUCCGUGGAAAGAGAUGAGGGCGAUGGAAGGGGGAGAACUAGGAGAACCAGGAGACCUUUGUGGAGACCGAGAUAUGAAAAAGCCAGAGGCGGGUAGAGGAAAAGAAA